UACGUAGGGGGCAAGCGUUUUCCAGAAUCACUGGGCGUAAAGCGCGCGCAGGCGGUCAUCUACGUCUGGGGUGAAAGCCCGGAGCUCAACUCCGGGAUUGCCUUGGAUACGGGAUGACUUGAGGAUCGGAGAGGCAAGGGGAAUUCCACGUGUAGCGGUGAAAUGCGUAGAGAUGUGGAGGAACACCUGUGGCGAAGGCGCCUUGCUGGCCGAUUUCUGACGCUGAGGCGCGAAAGCGUGGGGAGCAAACAGG
rnacentral:rRNA from 1 species